rnacentral:rRNA from 1 species
CUACGGGUUGCAGCAGUGGGGAAUAUUGCACAAUGGGCGCAAGCCUGAUGCAGCCAUGCCGCGUGUAUGAAGAAGGCCUUCGGGUUGUAAAGUACUUUCAGCGGGGAGGAAGGGAGUAAAGUUAAUACCUUUGCUCAUUGACGUUACCCGCAGAGGAAGCACCGGCUAACUCCGUGCCAGCAGCCGCGGUAAUACGGAGGGUGCAAGCGUUAAUCGGAAUUACUGGGCGUAAAGCGCACGCAGGCGGUUUGUUAAGUCAGAUGUGAAAUCCCCGGGCUCAACCUGGGAACUGCAUCUGAUACUGGCAAGCUUGAGUCUCGUAGAGGGGGGUAGAAUUCCAGGUGUAGCGGUGAGAUGCGUAGAGAUCUGGAGGAAUACCGGUGGCGAAGGCGGCCCCCUGGACGAAGACUGACGCUCAGGUGCGAAAGCGUGGGGAGCAAACAGGAUUAGAUACCCCUGUAGUC